rnacentral:rRNA from 1 species
AGAGUUUGAUCCUGGCUCAGGACGAACGCUGGCGGCGUGCCUAAUACAUGCAAGUCGAACGAAACUUUCUUACACCGAAUGCUUGCAUUCAUCGUAAGAAGUUGAGUGGCGGACGGGUGAGUAACACGUGGGUAACCUGCCUAAAAGAAGGGGAUAACACUUGGAAACAGGUGCUAAUACCGUAUAUCUCUAAGGAUCGCAUGAUCCUUAGAUGAAAGAUGGUUCUGCUAUCGCUUUUAGAUGGACCCGCGGCGUAUUAACUAGUUGGUGGGGUAACGGCCUACCAAGGUGAUGAUACGUAGCCGAACUGAGAGGUUGAUCGGCCACAUUGGGACUGAGACACGGCCCAAACUCCUACGGGAGGCAGCAGUAGGGAAUCUUCCACAAUGGACGCAAGUCUGAUGGAGCAACGCCGCGUGAGUGAAGAAGGUCUUCGGAUCGUAAAACUCUGUUGUUAGAGAAGAACACGAGUGAGAGUAACUGUUCAUUCGAUGACGGUAUCUAACCAGCAAGUCACGGCUAACUACGUGCCAGCAGCCGCGGUAAUACGUAGGUGGCAAGCGUUGUCCGGAUUUAUUGGGCGUAAAGGGAACGCAGGCGGUCUUUUAAGUCUGAUGUGAAAGCCUUCGGCUUAACCGGAGUAGUGCAUUGGAAACUGGAAGACUUGAGUGCAGAAGAGGAGAGUGGAACUCCAUGUGUAGCGGUGGAAUGCGUAGAUAUAUGGAAGAACACCAGUGGCGAAGGCGGCUCUCUGGUCUGCAACUGACGCUGAGGCUCGAAAGCAUGGGUAGCGAACAGGAUUAGAUACCCUGGUAGUC